CAAGCUUGCAAGAAAUUUGGGUAAAACUGAAUAUGAGGGAGGAAAAUUAGGGAUUUGGACUCUUGAGAAAUUAUGGCAAUUAAAAAGAAAAAAUAAAAGAAAUAAAAAUAAUGUCUGCCCUUUUAAAAGAAAGAGCCCCAUUAAUGAUAAAUCAUUCCCAAGUUUUGAAAAUAGUAUCUAUUCCCUUAGCACACGCUACCUAAACUCAGCAACUGCCAUUUCCAUUCAACUUCUAAGAAAAGCUCAG
rnacentral:lncRNA from 1 species